ACCGGCGAACACUUAGGCCUAUGUUAUCAGAGGACUUGCUAACAUGAAGAAAACGGUCCAGAGGUUCCACCUGAGAGCCGGGACUGUCGAAUAGUAAGAGACAACGAAAAGGGGGGAACUGUCUUUAAGCUGUGGAGUCAGAUGGAGGGCUCGCAUUGCAGAAGACUCGAACAACUAGAACCAACUCAAGCACACAACGGUGACACACAUUUGUAAGACCUUUCCCUGUGAUAUAAAAUUUCCCUGUGGUAAUUAUUCAGAUUCUUCUCAUUCUCAUUGUGUAGCACUGUUUUAAGCUUAGUGAAUAUUAUGUACAGUAAGCACUAGAAGUAGAGACUUGUACUACUUGGGGUAGUUUUAAAUUAACUUUAAUUUUGCUUUUGGUGCAAAAAUUAUCAAAAGAAAAGAUAGUAGUAAAAGAUGUUUUGUGUAGUAAUUCAAUUGUUUUAAUAUGAAUAUUGUUUUAGUAGUGUUCAGGACAGUAAUUGUCUGUACAUCUAAAUCAGUUCUUUAAACUUUUUGUUGUCUAAGACCUUGAUAUUAUACCUUAAGGGAAAAAGAAAGAUAUUUAAUUAUGUAUUAUGUACCCAGACAGCAAGGAGUGUCGGCCCAGAUCCAGCCCACA